rnacentral:lncRNA from 1 species
AUGAAGAACUUGUGACCGACAAAACUGGCUUGCUCAGGGUCCCACAGCUACGGGGUGUCUGAGGUCAUGUCUGACGGAGGUUGUCCUGUGUCUAGGUGAGACGCUCUUCACCGUACCAUCGAAGGACCCAAUCAAAGACAGGAAGGUGCUGAGGCUCUCUGGGGGCAAGGACACGCAUAGAGACGUGGAUGUUGUCGUGUGUCUAUGUAUAUUUGCACAUAUGCAUGCUGCUGCUUCUGUCCUCGGUCUUGCUUCUAUCACAGGCUACUCCCCAGGAAGAAAUGGUCUCUAUGUGGGAAACAGGCUCAUCCCAAAGGACAGAACUAAAAGGACUUUGGAGACGAUCUAAUCCAAGCCCUUUAUGUUAGACAAGAAUGCCAGGGUCCAAUGGUGGUCCUGGGGGCUCAGCCAUUAUGCUUCUCACGUCAGAGAGCCAAUGGCAGCUAGCAGCUGGGUCCAGGGGCACAACGUCAGGAUGGCACCCUUGGGCAACAGCUUCUCCAAGGAAAUGACGCCCUCACUGCCCUGUCCAGUUCAUGCCAUCGACGAGGGAUCUCCGGACAGCAUCAGCACUCCAGGGAGGGAGCUCAGGGCUAGAGCAAAGCAGAAUCAGGAGCAGUGGACAUUGAAGAGAGACAGACAACUGGAGCUAUCCACAGCCUCCCUGGCAGUCCUCAGGAAGAAGCUGACCAAGGAGAGAGACGUCGGUCUGGAUCACUAUACACUUCACUCUUCAUUGCAGCGAUCUAUAUCAUCGCCGGUCCUAUCCACUUCCUAUUUGAGCCUUUGGAAUAGCUGGAAGAAUUCCACAGAGGGAUGAGAAAGCUAUCAAAAAGACUGGUUCUCCUAAGCGGGGGUUAAAACCCUUAACUGAGCUCCAGAGCAAGUCAGGACAUGGAAAACAUUGCAGACACCGAAGCUGUUGCUCUUACUUCAGGGGCCCUCCCCAAAGAUCUCGAUGGUCAAAACCAAAUGGAUAGCCACCAGCAUCACUCCCUAUCCACCUUGGCGUCUCUCCUUGAGAAAGCGCAAACUUUCAACUUCAAUGGAAUCUGAAUACAUUUCACAUUUUCAUUGGGGGGGGGGCAGAUCUGUGGGGCUGAACCCAAAUAUAUUCCAACAGUUGGUUUUCAACAACAUUCAAUCUCACAUUCGCGCGCUGCUCCAGUACACACCACGGUACAAGGGAACUCCCAGCUUUUUCCACAGCUAAAUAUAGAUGUGAAAGUCUGAAGGGCUCUGAGGCUGUUUUGCAAGAAACACAGAGAAAAGUGCUGAGGUUUCUAGGCAAAGCCAAAGAAAUUCAAUUUGCAACCCUUCCAUCCAUCCCACCCUUCAAUUUACCCUAGCUGUGAAAUCCCACCCCCACUCCCUCCGCAUCCUUUUUCCAGUCUCUUUUUGCAGCUCCUCCUCCCAGUUGAAGAUUUCUCAGCGGCUUAUUUUUUUUUUUCCAUCUCUUUCUUUGGGGCUUUCAAGAAAAGGAACAGACGCGGAAAAUAUUUUAGCAACAGUUUUCCAUUCUGCGUCUCAUUCCCGAGCCAAACGGGAGGUGCAUGUGAGGGGUGGGUGGGUGUUAUAUACACAUUUUCCAAAAAAGCUCCUGUGUCCUUCCCCUGGUCUUCCACCAGCCCAGGACUGCUGGAACCGAGACUUUUGCUCCCAGUACCCCUCGCCCUUCCCCCGCCCCCAGAACCGUCCCAGACCCAAACUGAAACGGAACAAGAAAUCAAACCAAUCAAUUAGUGCCUCCGAAUCCAAGAAAGUCUGGACUUGCACCCCAAGUCCAACAGCCACCCCCUACGAAACCCCAAACAGCACCG